UGUGUGUGUGUGUGUGUGUGUGUGUGUGUGUACACAUGCAUGCACACACACACACACACACACACACACACACACG
rnacentral:miRNA from 1 species